AUCCGCUCAGGGCAAACGGCGCGAAAGCGCCGGGCGCAAAGCUAUAGGGGCUAAAGUCUCGUCGGGGCGACCGAUGGCACGUGAAACGGAACGCGGCAUCGCCGACGGGGCCAUGCCAGCCAGCUGCCGGA
rnacentral:ncRNA from 1 species